AAAAAAAUAUACCAGGAUACCAAAUACCGGAAACAGAUAUCGGCUGGCGAUUUAGGCGGUUAAACGACGAAUGGAUACACAUAAGAAAGGAAACUGGGGAAGGGACUUCUAUCCCAUAUGAACACGAAAGAAGAAUCGUUAGAUUAAAAUGUUUGAAUUAGGAACCGGUAGCCAAUAAUCCCAAAAAGGUCAUUUCUGCAUGCUAUAAAGUGGUGGAAAAAAGAAAGAUGUCGAAAAAAGGAUAUAUAGGCUCAUAGACAUUCCUUGUUUUGGAGGAUUUUGACAUUGGAAGUUGAUAACAACACAUAAAAUGCCACCCAGUUGAUAGCUUUAAGUGAAGAUGCACUGAAAAGUGGAGCGUACAUUGUAUGUGAUCGUACAAGAACUGUUGGAAUUUGCAAACUUUUAAACUUUCAUUGUGACAAAUACCUAUAUCAUAAACUAUCUAAUUAUCACAUCGACAUGCUUUUUUGGUUAGGAUACAAAUGAUGUUGCAACUAUCUAGUCAUGUAGGGGAAAAUCAUUAUUUGUGAUA